rnacentral:lncRNA from 1 species
AGUACCGUUGUUUCUCUAUGGUCUUACAAGACACAGACACAAAACUAUGUGUGUUUGUGUAUGUUAUAUGUUUGUUUGAUCUAGUGCAUUCAUAUAAACUGUUCUAAUUUGCAGGUUCCAAAUGGUUUCGGAUGUGGGCUGGGGAUACUACAGCUGAUUCUGUAUGCAACUUACUGCGGAAACAAAGGCCAGACCAAGAAAACUGCUGAUGGAUCAUCUCUGGAGCUGGGGCAGGCCAACGGAGACACCCCGGAUAAGCCAAACCUCAAGUAGGCGAAACAUCAAUGUCGAACAAUCUGCACUACAAUCUCUAGCUUCUAGCUGCUUGUCAAUUGUAAUAUACUCAAGCUAAGCUCUCAAGUUGAGCUCUUGUGUUAUUUCAUUUCCUAGUUGGCUAUUUAGCUGGCUUUUGUACUAGUAUUGUUUUAAUUGUAUUUCUCAGUUUGGUUAAAAAUGUAUGACAUUUUCUAAUCUUUGUUGGUUUAGUGCACAAAAAGAACUUCAAAAUGGGGAAAUGUCUGGUGCAGUUUUAGAGCUUGCUGCUAAAUUUAGGACACUUUUUUUGCUAAUAUUGUGGCAAUUAACUAAUUAAGAAACCUGCAAUCCCAAGAAUGACUUCAUACAAAAUUUUGAUUUUUUUUUUGACAAAUAUGGCUUAUAGCUUUACAAAUGAGUAUCUGUUCUACGAAACUCUCAGGUGAUCUCAGGGUGAGUCAGGGUUGAACCCAGGACCUCGGACGACAGAGGAUAAGCUUUGAAUUUAAUCGCUCACCUAUUACAAAAAUUUAAACAUAGUGCGCAUCACGGAGAAAUUUAAAUACACACGCUCUCAUGUAACCAUUCUUCCAACCACUCCGUUUAAAUAUCACUGUCCAACUUGUAUCUCUUUCAAAAUUCACUAUCUGAUAAUUCAAUUAUAGUACUGUUCCUUCCCUCGUAAACAAGUUUGAUAUAACUUAUAAGUGUUCUGGUUCUGUUGAUGCGCCUUUAUAUUAUACUACUCGGCCCAAUUCGGAUUGAAAACAAACAUAUAAAGGGCCUGUUUGGGACUUAAAAAGUCCAUAAAUUAAGGUCUUGUUUUUUUUUCUAAAACAUACAUAUUUUUAUCUUUUUUGGAUCCAAAGAUCAAGAAAGUGUUAUGACAAAAAAAAAAAUUAAGAAAGUGUUUUAUAUUUAUUUCUGUGAAAAAAUAAGAAUUUAUUUCAGGUACAUGUCAAGACUCCCUACUGAAAAAAUAAAUUAUCUAGCUCCGAACCCCAACCUAACUCAUCCUCGUAUCCUCGUAUAUAUGAAAAUAUGUUAAUUAGUAUAAGACUCGAACCCAAAUCUUUCCGUUACAAAUACAUCACUCAAACCACUUGAGCUACACAAUCAAUUAAAUUUUUAUACAAAAGCAUUAACUACAUACAUUAAACUAUUGUAUUUAUAUUCUUUUCAAUAUCUUAUUUAUUUGAGAUAAAUUAUUAUUUUAUUUAAGUCUCAUAUAUUGUUUACAUUAUAGAUUAAUAUUUAUAAAUUAAUUAUUUACGUAAAUAAAUUUAAAAUUGAAAAGAAUCUCAAUAAUCGGGCUCGAACCAUGAUUCAGAUUUCUAAAAAUAUAUAUAAUUCAUAUUCGAAUAAAAAUGAACGAAUUUAAAUUUAACUUAAUAAUUUAAACGAGUACCAAUACAAUAUUAUAGAAAUUUUAAGUCAUGAAUAUGAGAUAUAAGCACAAAAACUGAGUUUUCAGUGAGCAUUUUGAAAGGAAAGAUUGAGAAAUACUGCUGCGAUCGGAAGUUGCUGGGUAGCUCCAGACAGGGGAUGGUUAAAACUAAAUGUUGAUGCCGCAUUACAUGUGGGUGAAGAUAGUUUUGCAGUUGGUAUGGUCCUUCGAAAUGAGCAUGGAGAAUUUGUGAUGGGAAAAAACUUAAGGAUGGCAGGUCAGGUGACUGUAAUGGAGGCGGAAGCUCAUGGUGUUUACGAGGCGCUAAGGUGGGUGGAUGAUUUAAGGCUCCACCAGGUGGUUAUAGAAAGUGAUUCAAGUCUUGUUGUCCAAGCAUUGCAGCUGAGAUCCUCAUAUUUUCUGGAGGUGGGGAAUAUCUUAGAAGCUUGUCAAGGUAUGCUAGAACAUCGUUCUGAUCUGAUAGUUCAUCAUGUUAAAAGGCAUGCAAAUGGGGUUGCUCAUGUUUUAGCAAAAAUGCCCUGUUUGAUUGAUUGCCAUAAUAUUUUUGUAUCUCCUCCACACUGUGUGUUGGAGAGUUUAUCUGUUGAUUGCUCUUCUACUUAAUAAAACUGGUGUCCUUUGGUUUCAAAAAAAAAAAAAAAANGGAGGCAUGUUCGACACGUGUCCAUCUCACAACAUUAAUUUAAAUAAAUUUUAUUAUUGAAACUUAAAAAAAAUUAAAAAAUUGUUCUCGUAAAACUAAAAAAUAUUGAUGAUUUCUUUACAAAAAAAAUAAAAUAUAUUGAUGAUUUAUUUCGAGUUUUACCGGAUGGCCCGGAAAUAUUACAUCCUAGUCCUUGCUGUGGGUAUGUAUGUGUGUCAUCUUUGUCCUUUCUCUAUAUAAUCCUUUGUUCUCCACUACUUCUUUCUUCAUAACUUCACACCAUUAACCAAGAAACCUCUCUCUUAAAUUCUUGGUUUUCAAGUGUUUGGAGUGAUCUUUGUGUUAUUUCUUCAUCUGGGCUGCUCUUCAUUCUUGAAGAAAGACUUGUGUUGUUGGAAAUGACUGGUGUUUUGCACUCAGCUUUUGGGAUUUUUGGUGAGUUUUUCAGUUUCAUUGAAGGAUUUUGUUUGUGUUUUGAUUGUUAGUAAUGGGUGGUUUUUGGUGGUGGUUGAAACAGGGGAUUUGACUGGCUUGUUCCUCUUCUUGGCCCCAGUGUAAGUAUUUAGUUUCAUGUACACUUCAAUUUGUUUUAAGAUUAUAUUGUUUGUGUGUUUGUAACAAGAUUGUGAGCUCUUUUGUUACUGUGUUUCAUUCAGAAACUUUAAGGAAUCUGGUUUUAAAGUUUUUAUAUUAUGGCCAUCUUUGAUUUUUGUUUUUUAGUAGUACUGUUCCAUUGAUGUUUUCUUUCUUGAAAAUCUGUAAAAGGUCUGUUUUUCUUCAUUUAUGAAAUGUAGUUGAUAUGGUAUAUUCAUCUCUCUCUCUCUCUCUCUCUCUCUCUCUCUCACACACACACACACAUGUACAAGUUGUUGAUUGAAAUUUGAUGGGAAAAUGACAGAAUCACAUUCAAGAGGAUCCUACUAAACAAAUCUACUGAGCAAUUUUCAGGCAUACCAUAUGUCAUGACCCUCCUCAAUUGCCUGCUUUCUGCUUGGUAAUUUUUUGCUUCAUUACAAUGCUUGUUUGAUGUGGGUCAAUAUCUCAUUGUGUGUGUUUUGGCAUACUUAAAUUAUAAUCACUGAAUAGGUAUGGACUGCCUUUUGUGUCACCGAACAACAUACUAGUUUCGGUGGUAAAUGGAACUGGUGCAGUGAUUGAAGCAGUUUAUGUUCUGAUAUUUCUCAUCUUUGCUCCUAAGAAAGAGAAGAUGAAGAUCUUCGGAAUUCUCAUGGUCAUCCUCACUAUUUUCGGAACUGUUGCCUUUGUGUCCAUGUUCGCGCUUCAUCAUAACAAGCGCAAGGUUUUCUGUGGUUUUGCUGCUGCAAUUUUCUCUGUUAUAAUGUAUGGUUCCCCUCUUUCUGUUAUGGUAAGAACACUUGAUUUUGGCCUAGUCUUUUUGUUAUAUGUAAGGCGUAAAAUAUUAUUUGAUUUGGAUCACAGAAUUAUGACUUGGGUAUUCUGUAAACCUUGAAUCCCUGUGAUUACUCCAAUUGUUAAACGUAUAGUUGUAUGUUCCACCUCACAUAUAAGGCUUCCGUUUUUUUGAAGUUCAUGUGGUCUAAAUGUGCAGAGGAUGGUGAUGAAAACACAAAGCGUCGAGUACAUGCCUUUCUUCUUGUCGUUCUGCAGUUUCCUUUGUGGAACGUCAUGGUUUAUUUAUGGCCUCUUAGGAAAAGACCCCUUUGUAGCUGUAAGUACCGUUGUUUCUCUAUGGUCUUACAAGACACAGACACAAAACUAUGUGUGUUUGUGUAUGUUAUAUGUUUGUUUGAUCUAGUGCAUUCAUAUAAACUGUUCUAAUUUGCAGGUUCCAAAUGGUUUCGGAUGUGGGCUGGGGAUACUACAGCUGAUUCUGUAUGCAACUUACUGCGGAAACAAAGGCCAGACCAAGAAAACUGCUGAUGGAUCAUCUCUGGAGCUGGGGCAGGCCAACGGAGACACCCCGGAUAAGCCAAACCUCAAGUAGGCGAAACAUCAAUGUCGAACAAUCUGCACUACAAUCUCUAGCUUCUAGCUGCUUGUCAAUUGUAAUAUACUCAAGCUAAGCUCUCAAGUUGAGCUCUUGUGUUAUUUCAUUUCCUAGUUGGCUAUUUAGCUGGCUUUUGU